AGUUUAUGAACCAAGCAGCCCAAUCAGAGUGCCUAAUUCUCCCUACCACACAAUUGGUCAAGGAGGAAGCAAGUGACAUAAUCUAAAUUCUUUCCAAAGAUGGAUGCAAAUGCUAGGAAAGCAAGAGUUGAAUUGCUAGCCAUGAGGAAAACGUAAGCCUGAGCUGUUUGCUGGUCAUCUUUGCUUCCAUAUGGAGACAGCCUGCGUGGAAAUGAAGCCACAGAGAGAAAACAGAAGAGCAGUGAAGAGAAAGGUAAAAGGAGAGAUCCCAUGACAUGAUUUGCACUCUUAGAUCCAGUUAUGCCUGAAGCAGGACCCACCCCUUGGACUUCCCAUUUCCAGGAGCCUAUGCAUUCUCUGUUGCUAAAACUAGAUUGAGUUGAGUUUCUAUCACCUACAAGUUGACAGAAAAUAUCAACAAUCCAGCCACAUGGAGCCUCAAGGCAGUACCACUAACCCUGGUCACCACACAAAUACUGACCAGAGGCAUUUCACCUGAAUCAACUGUUUGUGUUCUUCACUCGGUCUCCUCACCUGCUUCCUGGAAGACCCAGCUGACACAGAUGGUUACAAGAAAUGAUUUCCUCCCUAUAAAACUUUAGCUUCUUGUAUAGAAGAUACCCCAAAAAAUGUUUGCUGAAUGAAGAAAUAAAGG